CUGGACUGCAGCGCGAACUGUCGGGCUUGAGGGCGCACGACGCAGGCGGAAUUUGUGGUGUAGCGGUGAAAUGCUUAGAUAUCACGAAGAACCCCGAUUGCGAAGGCAGCUUGCGGGAGCGCGACUGACGCUGAAGCUCGAAAGUGCGGGUAUCAAACAGGAUUAGAUACCCUGGUAGUCCGCACGGUAAACGAUGGAUGCCCGUUCUGCGGCCUUCGGGCCGCGGGACCAAGCGAAAGCAUUAAGCAUCCCACCUGGGGAGUACGCCGGCAACGGUGAAACUCAAAGGAAUUGACGGGGGCCCGCACAAGCGGAGGAACAUGUGGUUUAAUUCGAUGAUACGCGAGGAACCUUACCCGGGCUUGAAUUGCAGACUAAUGCGGCGGAGACGCCGCAGUCCUUCGGGAAGUCUGUGAAGGUGCUGCAUGGUUGUCGUCAGCUCGUGCCGUGAGGUGUCGGCUCAAGUGCCAUAACGAGCGCAACCCCUGUCUCCUGUUGCCAUCAGGUAAAGCUGGGCACACUGGAGAGACUGCCGCCGUAAGGUGUGAGGAAGGUGGGGAUGACGUCAAAUCAGCACGGCCCUUACGUCCGGGGCUACACACGUGUUACAAUGGCCGGUACAGAAGGAUGGUGCCCCGCAAGGUGCAUCGAACCUGAAAAACCGGUCCCAGUUCGGACUGGGGUCUGCAACCCGACCCCACGAAGCUGGAUUCGCUAGUAAUCGCGCAUCAGCCAUGACGCGGUGAAUACGUUCCCGGGCCUUGUACACACCGCCCGUCAAGCCAUGAAAGCCGGGAGUGCCUGAAGUCCGUGACCGCGAGGAUCGGCCUAGGGCAAAAUCGGUAAUUGGGGCUAAGUCGUAACAAGGUAACCGUA
rnacentral:rRNA from 1 species